UCAGCGCAACGCACACCUUCGCCGGGUGUUUGCGAAUGCAGCGUCAAUGCGCGCAGAGGGCGUUGUGUGGCCUCUGGAAUGUUCUCCGUUAACACACGCACACACACACACACACACACUGCGCUUUACUGGGAAGAAAGUAGCCCACUUACAUUCAUCAUCUUCUGUGGUGAAGCAGCCGAGGGUUAACUUAAAGAAGAAUACAAAAUGGUUUGAGUGGCUCACAAAAAUACGUCAACUCUCUCGCAGCCGCUUCGUUAGCUACGAGCAGAGAGAGCGCGUCAUGGCUGCAGCGUUAACUCUGAGGAGUCUUCGGAGUCUGGAUCAUGCUAUUUCUGGGGGGCGCGGCUUCCUGUUGACGGGCGCCGUCACGGAACUCAAGCGAAGCGGCGGGCUCCUCUUGAGGCCUGGGGUCGGGACUCCGUGGGGAGGUCUCCCGUACAGACGCGUCAGGUAAGACUCGUCGUCCACCG